UACGUAGGGGGCAAGCGUUGUCCGGAUUUAUUGGGCGUAAAGAGCGUGUAGGCGGUUAGGUAGGUCCGUUGUGAAAACUCGAGGCUCAACCUCGAGACGCCGAUGGAAACCAUCUGACUAGAGUCCGGAAGAGGAGAGUGGAAUUCCUGGUGUAGCGGUGAAAUGCGUAGAUAUCAGGAGGAAUACCGAUGGCGAAGGCAGGUCUCUGGGCUGACACUGACGCUCAUGCACGAAAGCGUGGGGAGCAAACAGG
rnacentral:rRNA from 1 species